UACGUAGGGGGCAAGCGUUGUCCGGAAUUAUUGGGCGUAAAGAGCGCGUAGGCGGUCCGAUAAGUCGGCUGUGAAAGUCAAGGGCUCAACCCUUGAAAGCCGGCCGAUACUGUCGGACUAGAGUCCGGAAGAGGCGAGUGGAAUUCCCGGUGUAGCGGUGAAAUGCGCAGAUAUCGGGAGGAACACCAAUGGCGAAGGCAGCUCGCUGGGACGGUACUGACGCUGAGAAGCGAAAGCAUGGGGAGCGAACAGG
rnacentral:rRNA from 1 species